rnacentral:rRNA from 1 species
AUUGAACGCUGGCGGCAGGCCUAACACAUGCAAGUCGGACGGUAGCACAGAGGAGCUUGCUCCUCGGGUGACGAGUGGCGGACGGGUGAGUAAUGUCUGGGGAUCUGCCCGAUAGAGGGGGAUAACCACUGGAAACGGUGGCUAAUACCGCAUAACGUCGCAAGACCAAAGAGGGGGACCUUCGGGCCUCUCACUAUCGGAUGAACCCAGAUGGGAUUAGCUAGUAGGCGGGGUAACGGCCCACCUAGGCGACGAUCCCUAGCUGGUCUGAGAGGAUGACAAGCCACACUGGAACUGAGACACGGUCCAGAGUCCUACGGGGGGCAGCAGUGGGAAUAUUGCACAAUGGGCGCAAGCCUGAUGCAGCCAUACCGCGUGUAUGAAGAAGGCCUUCGGGUUGUAAAGUACUUUCAGCGGGGAGGAAGGCGAUGUGGUUAAUAACCGCGUCGAUUGACGUUACCCGCAGAAGAAGCACCGGCUAACUCCGUGCCAGCCGCCGCAGUAA